CCUACGGGAGGCAGCAGUGGGGGAUAUUGCACAAUGGGGGGAACCCUGAUGCAGCGACGCCGCGUGGGUGAAGGAGCGUUUCGGCGCGUAAAGCCCUAUCGGCAGGGAAGAAGAUGACGGUACCUGACCAAGAAGCCCCGGCUAACUACGUGCCAGCAGCCGCGGGAAUACGUAGGGGGCAAGAGUUAUACGGAUUGACGGGGUGUAAAGGGGGCGCAGACGGCAUUGCAAGCCAGGAGUGAAAGCCGGGGGCCCAACCCCGGGACUGCUCUUGGAACUGGAUGGCUGGAGUGCAGGAGGGGCAGGCGGAAUUCCAGGUGUAGCGGUGAAAUGCGUAGAUAUUAGGAGGAACACCAGUGGCGAAGGCGGCCUGCUGGACUGUGACUGACGUUGAGGCCCGAAGGCGUGGGGAGCAAACAGGAUUAGAUACCCUUGUAGUC
rnacentral:rRNA from 1 species